CACGUAGGGUGCGAGCGUUUGUCCGGAAUUAUUGGGCGUAAAGAGCUCGUAGGCGGUGUGUCGCGUCGGCCGUGAAAACCUGCAGCUUAACUGUGGGCUUGCGGUCGAUACGGGCAGGCUAGAGUUCGGUAGGGGAGACUGGAAUUCCUGGUGUAGCGGUGAAAUGCGCAGAUAUCAGGAGGAACACCGGUGGCGAAGGCGGGUCUCUGGGCCGAUACUGACGCUGAGGAGCGAAAGCGUGGGGAGCGAACAGG
rnacentral:rRNA from 1 species